UCGCGCGAGAGCGAAGGAACUAGGAGGGUCCCGGGCAGGGGGCGGGCUGGAAGACGCGUCAUUUGCUUUUGGAUACGGUGAUAGAGCUGUUUGAGUGUGCUGCGCGGAAGGCGUUUGUCAGGGGCCUGUCCAACAACGAGGCUCGCGACAUUCCCGAUGGUGUCCAUGACUUUCAAGCGGAGCCGCAGCGACCGGUUCUACAGCACUCGGUGCUGUGGCUGUUGCCAUGUCCGCACCGGGACAAUCAUCCUGGGGACCUGGUACAUGGUGGUAAACCUAUUGAUGGCAAUUUUGCUAACUGUGGAGGUGACUCAUCCAAACUCAAUGCCAACUGUCAACAUUCAAUAUGAAGUCAUUGGUAAUUACUAUUCAUCUGAGAGAAUGGCUGAUAAUGCCUGUGUUCUUUUUGCCGUCUCUGUCCUUAUGUUUAUAAUCAGUUCAAUGCUGGUAUAUGGAGCAAUUUCUUAUCAAGUGGGUUGGCUGAUUCCAUUCUUCUGUUAUCGGCUUUUUGACUUCGUUCUCAGUUGUCUGGUUGCUAUCAGUUCUCUCACUUACUUGCCAAGAAUCAAAGAAUAUCUGGAUCAAUUACCUGAUUUUCCCUACAAAGAUGACCUCCUAGCUUUGGACUCCAGCUGCCUCCUGUUCAUUGUUCUCGUGUUCUUUGUCUUAUUCAUCAUUUUUAAGGUACGCUUAUCUAAUCAACUGUGUUUGGAACUGCUAUAAAUACAUCAACAACAGAAACGUUCCAGAGAUUGCUGUGUACCCUGCCUUUGAAGCACCUCCUCAGUAUGUUUUGCCAACCUAUGAAAUGGCCGUGAAGAUGCCUGAAAAAGAACCACCUCCUCCUUACUUACCUGCCUGAAGAAAUUCUGCCUUUGACAAUAAAGCCUAUACCAGCUUUUGGUCUUGUUUAUUUUACAGAAUGCUGCAAUACAGGGCUCUUCAAACUUGUUUGAUAUAAAAUACAUUGUCUUUUGUUUAAGCGUUCAUUUUCAAACACUAACGAGCUUUUUGACUUAUUAAAAGUCUUCUUGUUUUUUUGUUAAGUCUAUUACAUUUUAAUAGUUUUUGAGGACAAUCUAGGUUAAGCAAGAGCAAAGUGCCAUUGUUUGCCUUUAAAUCGGGGGGUGGGAUGGGGAACGGGGUAUUCUUCACAUAUUUUUCUUUUUUAACUUUGCACUUUCUUUAUAUAAUAGUUUGCAUUUUUUUAUUUGUUGCCCUGGAUAUUUUCAGAAAGAAUGAGUUAACUAUUCAGGGUGAAUGAGUUGGGUAUAAGACCUGAAGUUUUCAACUAUGGAAACAGAAAAACAUGACAUUCUGACUUGACUGUGGAGGAUGAUGGUUGUGUGUUUCUAAUUUGUAUAUGUUUCCAUCUUUGUGAUAAGAUGCUUUAAUAAAUCUCUUAAAUACUUA